UACGGAGGGUGCAAGCGUUGUCCGGAAUUAUUGGGCGUAAAGAGCUCGUAGGCGGUUUGUCGCGUCUGCUGUGAAAACCCGAGGCUCAACCUCGGGCCUGCAGUGGGUACGGGCAGACUAGAGUGCGGUAGGGGAGAUUGGAAUUCCUGGUGUAGCGGUGGAAUGCGCAGAUAUCAGGAGGAACACCGGUGGCGAAGGCGGGUCUCUGGGCAGUAACUGACGCUGAGGAGCGAAAGCGUGGGGCGCGAACAGG
rnacentral:rRNA from 1 species